UACGUAGGGGGCAAGCGUUGUCCGGAAUCAUUGGGCGUAAAGCGCGUGUAGGCGGCCAGAAAAGUCCGCUGUGAAAACUCGAGGCUCAACUUCGAGCUGUCGGUGGAAACUUUCUGGCUAGAGUCCGGAAGAGGAGAAUGGAAUUCCUGGUGUAGCGGUGAAAUGCGCAGAUAUCAGGAAGAACACCCGUGGCGAAGGCGGUUCUCUGGGACGGUACUGACGCUGAGACGCGAAAGCGUGGGGAGCGAACAGG
rnacentral:rRNA from 2 species